rnacentral:misc_RNA from 1 species
AAGAUAUACUCACAAUCAAUGUUACAACUUUCAUAAGACAAAAUCAAAGGCACAAAGAGCAGAUAAUCAAACAAUAGUAUAGGAAAAAAAGAAAAGCAUUCUUAGUCUAUUCAAACCCAAAAUGGGUCAGAGAAUGAACCGAACACCUAUACUGAUAUAUGGAAACCCGUUAUAAGGGGUUCCCAUUAUCAAACCCUAGCCCACAGCUUGAGCCUCUCUCAGCACAAAAAUUAAACCCUGAACUUCAGCCUUUGCUCUUACAUCCAAUAGUUAACAAACAUGAAUUAUACUUUUGGUCAAUGGAAGAAACCCAGGAUCUUCUAGAAACGAGAAAUCAAUCCAUAAUUACCUCCUUUCCUUCAACCUACUCUUCUUUUGAGCGACUCGAGUACUCACCACCAGUCUCUGUCCCGGUCACUGCUGAUGAUGCCGUUGAUGUCAAAUCGUUGCUAGAGCUGUUUCUAAAGCUUUUUGAUGUUAAAGCGGGGUUGCUCUGAGUAUCGGUAGUUGCAGGCCUUUGUGGUCCUUGUCCUUCUUCUGCUAAUUUUUUAAGAAGAUUCAUGACAGUAGGCACGAAUGUAGAAGACAAAGAAAGAAGUCCCGGAAGAAGACCAUUGCUAAAUUGCCCAGAAACAUCUAGCUGCACCCAAAGGGCUUUGGCGAGUAAAUAGAGAACAAAAAUGACUCCCAAAUAUAAAGGAUUUCUUAAAAGGGUCAUAAAUUCAUUAAACCCGAG